UAUUUUUGUCUUUAUUUGACUAUAUGACAAAACAGCAGAAGGUUAUAAAGGUCAUUCACUAAAAUCUCUAUUAGAUAGAAAGUUGUAUUAGAGAGGAAAGAGAAAAGUGUCUAUUCUCCCUAUUUCUAAAAAAACUACCUAUUUUGCAAAUUAUUUGUGAAAAAAGUGUCUAGUUUCCAACUUAUCUCAAAAAAAAAAUACACCAAACAAAUGCGGAUAAUGGAUCCCUUUUAAAUAAUGAAGCAAAUAAACUUAAAAAUGGAACGUGAGAAUCCAUACAAGCGACUAAUAUAUAUAUAUAUAUAUCUUGAGUCAAGAUAACAUAUUGAUGGAUCUUCUAUUACGUGUUGUUUUUCUGGUUUGGGCAAAGGACUUCAGUCUCAUCAUCCUCCUCCGCAGAAGCAGAGCGCGAUAUGGCCACAACACA
rnacentral:sRNA from 1 species